UCCAGCCUGGGUGACAGAGCAAGACUCCGUCUCAAUUUAAAAAAUUAAUAAUAAUAACCUUGAGUCCCCAUUAUGCCAGAUAAAUGAGUGACAUUGUUUUACUUAGAAUACAGGACUGAAGACCGCCCCGUCACAUGUCCUCAGCAUUGCUGUAUAUUGUGCCCUUCCUCCACAUCCUCCCCAGGCCUCCCUGCCUGGCUGAAAUGGCUCACACAGCUUCCCUUCUCUUUCUGUCAUCGUCUUGGACUGCUGCCCAAUCCCUGGCCCUCACCUUCAGGGGUGACCUUAUGGCUGGAACGAGGACUGGAGAAGAGCCAAUGGGGCAAGGCCAGUAUAGCUUCAAUGAGUGAAUCCUGGAAAUAAAAGAGUCCCCAACCUCCCAGGCUGCUGGACCUUGGCCUGUUAGGAACCAGCCGCACAGAAAGAGAUUCUUCACAAUGCACCCUUCUGAGCUUUACUUUGCAGCAUUCAAUGCAGAAAUCUUGGAAAACACAAAAAAGCAACAAGGAAAAUUUUGGAAAUCUUGGAAAACACAAAAAAGCGACAAGAGAAAAGAACGAAAAAUUAUCAAUGGUGCAUACUCAUGACUCUCUCUCUCAAAUCUCUCUCUCUCUCUCUCUCUCAUGUUUCAUGGCCUUUUUCCCUUAAAAACAUACUGUAAAUUUUUCCAUGUCAUUUACUAUUUCUCCAUAGCGUUAUUUUUUGUUGUUGUUUUUGUUUUUUUUAGAGUAGAUCACUUACAAAUUUUAUUUUUUAAAGAACAUCUUUUCCCCAGCCACAGUAUAGUUAUAAGCUAAGAAUAAUUUCCAAUAUUGCACAAUGAAUGCAUCCAGAUCCUGCAAUAUUGAUCAAAAGAGUGGAUUAAAAUGGAAUAUGAUAGCAAUUUCAUGGAAGUCUCCCUUUCUAAAUACUGACUCCUUAGUGUUAUUUUAUUGUCUACACAGUACUCCAGACUAUGGAUCUACCAUAACUUAUUUAACUUUGCCAUUUAUUGUAAUAUUUCUGUUAUUUUCAUGUUUUGCUAUUAAAAUAAUGUUUUAAUAAACACAACGCUACUUCUAGUUUUAUUGAAAGAAAUCACUACCAGAGAGAAGUCAACCUACUAAUUUAUAGAAGAAUGGCAUGGGGAGGGAUAGAUGUGUAAAAGCGGGUGGAAAUAGAAACGGAGAAUAGUCAUAAAAUUUAAAAAGG
rnacentral:lncRNA from 1 species